AGCAGCCGCGGUAAUUCCAGCUCCAAUAGCGUAUAUUAAAGUUGUUGCAGUUAAAAAGCUCGUAGUUGAAUUUCGGGAUUCUACCGUUGGUCGGGCUAACAAGUCUGUACUGGUGUGUAGAAUUUCUACCUUCUGGGGAACUAUCAUGUUAUUAAUUUAGCGUGGUGGGAAACCAGGGCCUUUACCUUGAAAAAAUUAGAGUGUUCAAAGCAGGCUUACGUCUGAAUACAUUAGCAUGGAAUAAUAAAAUAGGACGGUGGUCCUGUUUUGUUGGUUUCUGAAUCACCGUAAUGAUUAAUAGGGAUAGUUGGGGGCAUUAGUAUUCAAUUGUCAGAGGUGAAAUUCUUGGAUUUAUUGAAGACUAACUUCUGCGAAAGCAUUUGCCAAGGAUGUUUUCAUUAAUCAAGAACGAAAGUUAGGGAUCGAAGACGAUCAGAUACCGUCGUAGUCUUAACCAUAAACUAUGCCGACUAGGGAUCGGAUGAUGUUAAUUUUUANGACUNAUUCGCUCCUUACGGGA
rnacentral:rRNA from 1 species